UACGUAGGGUGCAAGCGUUGUCCGGAAUUAUUGGGCGUAAAGAGCUCGUAGGCGGUCUGUCACGUCGGACGUGAAAAUCCAGGGCUCAACCCUGGACCUGCGUUCGAUACGGGCAGACUAGAGUUCGGUAGGGGAGACUGGAAUUCCUGGUGUAGCGGUGAAAUGCGCAGAUAUCAGGAGGAACACCAGUGGCGAAGGCGGCGACCUGGGCCAAUAUUGACGCUGAGGUGCGAAAGCGUGGGGAGCAAACAGG
rnacentral:rRNA from 1 species